AUUGAACGCUGGCGGCAGGCCUAACACAUGCAAGUCGAGCGGAUGACGGGAGCUUGCUCCUUGAUUCAGCGGCGGACGGGUGAGUAAUGCCUAGGAAUCUGCCUGGUAGUGGGGGACAACGCUUCGAAAGGAACGCUAAUACCGCAUACGUCCUACGGGAGAAAGCAGGGGACCUUCGGGCCUUGCGCUAUCAGAUGAGCCUAGGUCGGAUUAGCUAGUUGGUGGGGUAAUGGCUCACCAAGGCGACGAUCCGUAACUGGUCUGAGAGGAUGAUCAGUCACACUGGAACUGAGACACGGUCCAGACUCCUACGGGAGGCAGCAGUGGGGAAUAUUGGACGAUGGGCGAAAGCCUGAUCCAGCCAUGCCGCGUGUGUGAAGAAGGUCUUCGGAUUGUAAAGCACUUUAAGUUGGGAGGAAGGGCAGUAAGUUAAUACCUUGCUGUUUUGACGUUACCGACAGAAUAAGCACCGGCUAACUCUGUGCCAGCAGCCGCAGUAA
rnacentral:rRNA from 1 species